AGUGAACGCUGGCGGUAGGCCUAACACAUGCAAGUCGAACGGCAGCACAGUAAGAGCUUGCUCUUACGGGUGGCGAGUGGCGGACGGGUGAGGAAUACAUCGGAAUCUACUUUUUCGUGGGGGAUAACGUAGGGAAACUUACGCUAAUACCGCAUACGACCUACGGGUGAAAGCAGGGGAUCUUCGGACCUUGCGCGAUUGAAUGAGCCGAUGUCGGAUUAGCUAGUUGGCGGGGUAAAGGCCCACCAAGGCGACGAUCCGUAGCUGGUCUGAGAGGAUGAUCAGCCACACUGGAACUGAGACACGGUCCAGACUCCUACGGGAGGCAGCAGUGGGGAAUAUUGGACAAUGGGCGCAAGCCUGAUCCAGCCAUACCGCGUGGGUGAAGAAGGCCUUCGGGUUGUAAAGCCCUUUUGUUGGGAAAGAAAAGCAGCAGGUUAAUACCCCACUGUUCUGACGGUACCCAAAGAAUAGGCACCGGCUAACUUCGUG
rnacentral:rRNA from 1 species